GCUGGCGGCGUGCUUAACACAUGCAAGUGNAGCGACGAACCAGGGCUUGCCCUGGGGYAGAGCCGCGAACGGGUGAGUAACACGUGGGUAACCUACCCCGAUGACCGGGACAACCCGAGGAAACUCGGGCUAAUACCGGAUGUUCUCCUUUCUCGCAAGGGAAAUGAGCAAAGAUAGCUUCGGCCUUCGCAUCGGGGCGGGCCCGCGGCCCAUUAGCUUGUUGGUGGGGUAACGGCCUACCAAGGCGACGAUGGGUAGCUGGUCUGAGAGGACGAUCAGCCACACUGGGACUGAGACACGGCCCAGACUCCUACGGGAGGCAGCAGUGGGGAAUCUUGCGCAAUGGGCGAAAGCCUGACGCAGCAACGCCGCGUGGGGGAAGAAGGCCUUCGGGUUGUAAACCCCUUUCAGUUGGGACGAAGCUUCGAGGGUUAAUAGCCCUCUGGAGUGACGGUACCUUCAGAAGAAGCCCCGGCUAACUACGUGCCAGCAGCCGCGGUAAUACGUAGGGGGCUAGCGUUGUCCGGAAUCAUUGGGCGUAAAGCGCGUGUAGGCGGUCCGGUAAGUCCGCUGUGAAAGUCGGGGGCUCAACCCUCGGAUGCCGGUGGGAUACUGU
rnacentral:rRNA from 1 species